rnacentral:lncRNA from 1 species
CACGGGGGAAGCCAUGAUGCUGAGACCUCUGGAUAUUCACUGCUACUUCCUCCAUUCCUCUGCUUCCAUCCUUCUAACUCCCUUCCCCCAACCCACUCUCACAUUGUUCUCCUGUUCUGGGCCAGGUCAGCACGGCAAGACUGCUAUCAAGGAGACAUGUGUAGUUCCGGGUCUUGGGGCUCAUUAUCGACUGCAGCAGUUGCUGUGGCUGCUGGACCAUCAGGAUCUGUGGAUGUGUUUAGACAGAUGGAGGAAUUACAGAUGGGCUCAGGAGCUGUACGCGGGAUACUGGAGGAGCCAGACCUUCGAAAAUUGGAGAGGGCCAGCCAGUAUGUCAAGAUCUCACGGCUGCCCUUCCCUCUUGUCCUGACACCUGAGCUCUCCUGUGUGUGAAGGAUUUCCGCAUGCCCAGAAGACAGCUUCAAGCUUCCAGAGCCAGGCACACUUAUAGAAGAAAGGAAUAAAACCAUUUUACAGAUGUGUAUGCCGAGGCAGCUGAAAGCAAUUGCUGACUUGGGUCAUGGUUUAAGUCAGGGUGGGUUCUGGGCCCCUGGCCCUCACAUGUCCCUACCCAGCAUCCUCUUUACCUGCUCUUCCCCCAUAGUGUCACUUUGUGCUUUGUCCCUGAAGGCUUUUACCUGUCUUCUCCACUUUUCUCAGCCUUGUUUACCUGACGGUUCCUUUCCUUGGUCUUCACUGGCUAAGGUCAGCCUCUGGUGUGUAUGUAUGUGUGUGUGUGUGUGCACAUGUGUGUGUGCAUGUGUGUAUGUAUGUAAGUGGGUGUGUAUGUGUGAGUGUGUGUGUACAUGUGUGAGUGUGUUAUAUGUGCGAGUGUAUGUGUAUGUGUGGGUAUGUAUAUGUGAGUGUGUGUAUGCAUUCUGUGAGUGUAUAUGUAAGUGUGAGUAUGUGUAAAUGAUUAUGUGUGUAUAUAUGGGUGGGUAUGUAUAUGUGUGAGUAUGUA